rnacentral:rRNA from 1 species
GACGAAGGGGGCUAGCGUUGUUCGGAAUUACUGGGCGUAAAGCGCGUGUAGGCGGUUGCCAUAGUCAGGGGUGAAAGCCUUGAGCUCAACUCAAGAAAUGCACUUGAUACUGGGCGACUAGAGGACCGGAGAGGAUAGUGGAAUUCCCAGUGUAGUGGUGAAAUACGUAGAGAUUGGGAAGAACACCAGUGGCGAAGGCGGCUAUCUGGACGGUUUCUGACGCUAAGACGCGAAAGCGUGGGGAGCAAACAGG